rnacentral:rRNA from 1 species
CGGACGGGUGAGUAACACGUGGGCGACCUGCCUUUGAGUGGGGAAUAACGCUUGGAAACAGGCGCUAAUACCGCAUACGCUCCCUUUUUCGUUAAGGGGAGGAAAGCUUGAUGUGCUCAAAGAGGGGCCUGCGGCGGAUUAGCUAGUUGGUGGGGUAACGGCCUACCAAGGCGACGAUCCGUAGCUGGUCUGAGAGGAUGAUCAGCCACACUGGGACUGAGACACGGCCCAG